AAGUCAUAACAAGGUUUCCGUAGGUGAACCUGCGGAAGGAUCAUUAUCAAUGCCCCUCGGGGUUUAAAUGUGUGCCAGACUGGACUUGUCCUGUUCUGGCCAUCCACACACACCGUGAACUGUGGCUUCGGCCAUCACAAACUGUUAGUAAUGAAUGUAACAUCAUAACAAAAACAAAACUUUUAACAACGGAUCUCUUGGCUCUC
rnacentral:misc_RNA from 1 species